rnacentral:misc_RNA from 1 species
CAUUUAUUCACAGCGUGGCUAAAUAAUUUAUCGAAAAGAAAAGCCAUACACCAAUGAAGCAAAAACGGGGGAAAAGUUCAUAACGCAAACGCAUUUAAAGAACGAAACCAACGGUAAUGAGCUACUUAACUUUCAGAUCUGUUUCAAAGCACUCUAUUCUUUCUCUUGUGGAUUCUCGUGCCUGUCUUAAAGAGCUCAAGCAAAUCCACACCCAACUUCUCAUUAACGGCUAUCUCAACGACCCUCAUUUUCUAGGCCAAUUUGUGGCUGCCAUUGCCCUCAAAAGCCAUAAUCUUGAUUAUUCCAAUCUUGUCCUUCACCAAUGUCACACCCCGACUCUCUUUGCCUUGAAUUCCAUGAUCAGAGCCCACUCUAAAUCCUCUACUCCUCAAAACAGCUUUCACUUCUUUAAUGAAAUCCUCCGUUCUGAUAAACGUAUUUCGCCUGAUAACUACACUUUUAAUUUCCUCGUUCGAGCCUCUGCGCAGCUUUUGGCAAGGGGGACUGGCCCGUCUGUCCAUGGCUUUCUUAUAAAAUAUGGGUUUGAAUUCGAUUCACAUAUUCAAAGUGGAUUGAUCUUUAUGUAUGCUGAAUUGGGUUGUUUAGGUUCGUGUCACCAGGUGUUUGAAUCAAUUCCUAACCCAGAUUUGGUCUGUCAAACAGCGAUGGUGAGCGCGUUAGCCAAAUGUGGCGAUAUUAGUUUUGCGAGAGAAUUGUUCGAUUCAAUGCCUCAGAGGGACCCCGUUGCAUGGAGUGCAUUGAUUGCUGGGUACACACAGUGUGGGCAAUCAAGGGAUGCAUUGCGUUUGUUUAAUUUCAUGCAAUUAGAGGGUGUCAAGGUUAAUGAAGUGUCAGUGGUUUCAGUUUUAUCUGCCUGUAGCAAUUUAGGUGCUUUGGAUCAUGGGAGAUGGGUCCAUGGGUAUAUUGAGAAAAAUAUGAUUCCAUUGACGGUGAUAUUAGGGACUGCACUCAUUGAUAUGUAUGCAAAAUGUGGGGACAUGAAUAAAGCAAUGGAAGUGUUUUGGGGAAUGAAGGAAAAGAAUGUUUACACAUGGAGUAGUGCCAUGAAUGGGCUGGCGAUGAAUGGAGCCGGUGAUAAGUGCCUCGAACUAUUUUCCCUCAUGCAAAAUGAGGGGGUUUUGCCCAAUGAGGUAACUUUUCUUUCGAUUUUAAGGGCUUGUUGUGUUCUUGGAUUGGUUGAGGAUGGCCAUAUGUAUUUGGACGCAAUGAGAAAAGAUUAUGGGAUUGAGCCUCUACUUGAGCAUUAUGGAUGCAUUGUUGAUUUGUAUGGUCGAGCUGGGCGCUUAGAUGAAGCCUUAAAUAUCAUCAAUGACAUGCCAUUGAAGCCUCAUACUGGUGCUUGGGGUGCUUUGCUCAAUGCUUGUAAAACGUACAAAAAUAUGGAAUUGGGUGAACUUGCCUCGAGAAAAAUAAUUGAAUUAGAAAGCAAGAAUCAUGGGGCCUAUGUUCUCUUAUCAAAUAUAUAUGCUGAUUCAAAGAAAUGGGAAAAGGUUGAUAAUGUGCGCCAAGUUAUGAAGGUCAAUGGUGUAAGGAAACAGCCUGGUUGUAGUGUUAUAGAGAUUGAUGGUGAAGCUCAUGAGUUUCUUGUUGGAGAUAACUCCCACCCAAAGUAUGGUGAUAUUGAGGUCGUGUUACAAGAUAUUUCUAAGAGGAUGAAAUUAUCAGGUUAUGCGACUAAUUCUGAUUCUUUGCUGUUUGAUAUUGAAGAAGAGAAGGAGCUUUUAUAACAAUGAGAAUUUUGCUUUUGCAUUUAGUUUCAUCAACCAGAAAGGAAGAUGUUCCAAUUAGGUUUCUGAAGAACCGCAACAUUUAAUUGGGAUUUUCAUGGUAUUAUAAAACAAUUAAUCUAAUUUUUGACCUUCUGUAUGCUGUAAUAGACAAAG